GAUGAACGCUAGCGGCAAGCUUAACACAUGCAAGUCGAACGGUAACUUUUGGUGCUUGCACCGAAAGACGAGUGGCGGACGGGUGCGUAACGCGUAUGCAAUCUACCUUUUACUAGGGUAUAGCCCAGAGAAAUUUGGAUUAAUCCCCUAUAAUAUCAAAAUUCCGCAUGGUUUUUUGAUUAAAGCUUCGGUGGUAAAAGAUGAGCAUGCGUCCUAUUAGUUUGUAGGUGAGGUAACGGCUCACCUAGACUACGAUAGGUAGGGGCCCUGAGAGGGGGAUCCCCCACACUGGUACUGAGACACGGACCAGACUCCUACGGGAGGCAGCAGUGAGGAAUAUUGGACAAUGGACGAAAGUCUGAUCCAGCUAUGCCGCGUGCAGGAUGACAGCCCUACGGGUUGUAAACUGCUUUUAUACAGGAAGAAAAACCCCGACGUGUCGGGGCUUGACGGUACUGUAAGAAUAAGGAUCGGCUAACUCCGUGCCAGCCGCCGCCGUAACAC
rnacentral:rRNA from 1 species